CGGAGUGGAGGAAGCGGGCGGAAGCCGGUGGCUCUCGCGAGGAUUUAUUCAGCAACCCGCCAGCCUCAGAUGGGGGUGUUUUUUUAAAGGGCGAGGCGCGGGGGUCGUCUCUUUUCCGUCCCUCUUUGGUGAAUGGAAUGGGCGUCGGAAAAUCUACGACGCGCGGCUAGAUGAUCGGGCCGGGACACCCAAUUGAAUUGCGCCUGAGGAGUCUUAAAGAAACGCCUCAAGUUUCGUGGCUUCAUACCGGACAAAGUGCUCCGGCCGACUAGGUGAAGAUCAAUAAAGGAAUGUGUCUGAUCUGCCCUCAAGUUCCUGGAUGUACUUAAGCAUAAUGAAUUUGAAGAAUGAAGUUCCGUAGAUUUCAUUCUUAAAUACAUGAAGAAAUCUUAACAAAUCUUUUUUUUAGAAUCCGUUACAAGGAGCACUCACCAGCUGAUGUACAUCUUCCCGUAACAUGAAAGAAUAAUUAGCAAGGUGAGAUUGAGCCAUGCCCUUGGAUCAUUUGGGGAGAAGAUAAGAAGGAGACAUAGCUCUCAGCAGCCUUAGGACUGGAGAAUGGAAUCACUGUGGUAUCUGAAAACAGUGAAGGGCCUUUGCUUGAAGCAGUGCAUUUUCAAGGUCAGGUUUGUCUCUUAACUUCUAAUCUCAUGUACUUUCUAUAAGAAUUUGCUUUUACUUUACAGUUUCUUCUUGCUAUAAAAUCUCUAAUGUAAACGUUACACUUAAAAUUAAGCCACCAUAAUAGAGUACUUAUGAAAAGUAUCUUCAAAAUGAAGUAUGGAGCAGAGCAUCUUAUUCUCCCUGGUAAUUGAUACAUUGAUAGAACACCUAUGUUUUAUUUCUACCAGUAAUAUGUACCUGACUCUGAACUCAAGGAAAUCAUCAGAUGAAUCCAAAGGGCCAUUCUGUAAAUGAAAUGGCCUGUACUCUUCAAGAAAAGUCAGUGUUCUAUGCCUGAGUCACUCACUCAGGUCAUGAUCCCAGUGUCUUGGGAUUGAGUCCCACAUCAGGCUCCUUGCUCAGCAGGGAGCCUCUUUCUCCCUCUGCCUGCUGCUUCUGCUUGUGCUUGCUUUCUAGACAAGAUUUAAAAAAACAACUAUUACCUAAAAGGACACAAAUGCAACUUUUUUUUUUAAAGAUUUGAGAGGGGGUGUGCGUGCCCAAGAGUAGGGGGUGAGUGGGCAGAGGGAGAGAUCUCAGACUCCCCACUUAGUGCAGAGCCUGCCAGACUUGGGCCUUGAUCCCACAACCCUGAAAGCAUGACCUGAGCCUAAAACCAAGAGUCAGGAUUCUUAACCAAGCCACCCAGAUACCCUGAAAUGCCACAUAUGAUUUUUGAUUGCGGACUACAUCACCAGAAUGGCAAGGGUGUGAUUUUAAGUGGGGAAACCUACUUGGAAAAACCCAAUGAGUAAAUUAUACUUGGUGGUAGGAGUGGAGAAGGUGGUUCUGGAUGUACUUUGACAGUGGCUAAGAUUUGUUGACUUUUUUUGUUUAGGCAACUGUUAAGCCUAUUUACUCUUAACUGGAAAGACUACUUAGGAAGGGAAACCACAAGUUCCUUUUGGGCCCUAUCAAGCAGUUGUCCACAAAAGGAAGACUGUAUGUGAAGAAUAAAGAACUUUUUCAAGGUUCUUUGUACCAUUUAUCAUUUUUACUGGUAGGUACCUGAAGUGCUGCUGUGUUCACUACACAUGGGGUAGAGCCUGAGACAGUAUCUCUCAGUACCUUUCCAAGCAGCUCUUUAACCUGAUGCCAACUUUGAUAAAAAGCUACUAGUUCUUAACUGGGGUGCUUUAGAAGUGCUAGAGGGGCUUAUCACAAUGAUUAGGAGACUCUCGAGGCAUUCAGUGGGCAAGGGCUGACCAGAGAUGCUAAGUAUCUUCCAACAUGCCACAAAAUCUUUCACAAGAAUUACUGCACAUCCCACAAGGUUCCCAAGUAUUCAUGUAGCGGAAAACUUGAGCCUAGAAUUUAUUUUUCAUAUGAAUCUCUAGAAGUGUUUACAUGGGUGUUAAGGAACACUUAAUUUCCCAGGAAUGUAAUUAUUGUGUAAACAAUCUCCUUCACAUUAGAACACUAUAUUGACUUAAUUAUACAUCAAUUUAGUUUCUAGAUCUCACAAAAUAAAAGGAGGCAUUACAUUGAUGGGGGUCUGAGCCCAUGUUCCUGACAGAUUCCUUUGGGCAUGGUAUAUGACAGUAAUCCACGAAAAGGGGCGGGGGAGGGGAGUCUGUUGGAAAACUUCUGGGAAACAAUUCUUCACACUUAAUAUAGGAAAAAUAUUCACCCUUCUGCUUCUGAGGGUUUCAGCAUUUAAUUAGAACUACAUCAGAGGAUACAGGACAAGGCAACUCACUCAGGAUUGAACAGGAGAAAUGUAGAAUCAAUUCCUGAUGGACUGUCCUUGGUAAUAAUGCUGCUUCAUCAUACCAGCCCUUCCAAAUCCUGAAUUUGUAUUUGAGCCAGUGUUAGAAAAUCAUGUAUUCCACCUGAACGACUUUAGGUCAGGGAAUGGAAGUAUGAUUCAUAUCCUAUUCCUGAAGCUAAAUCUCAGAGCCUCACUCCUCAAAACUAGAGAUCAAGAUACUCUUCGUAUUUAUUUAAAAAAGAAAAAAACCCAGAAUGGCUCAAAAAAAAAAAAAAAAAAAAACCAAGGACACAAGUGCCCUGACACA